UCUACAAUCUACUGUAUAUUUUUAAUUUUAUAUAAUCGUAUAUUCGUGUAUGUAGUUUAUACUAUUCUAUGUUUUGUGGUCAUUUGACAAUUGAUUUUGUUCUUGAUUGUUACUAAACUAUUUGGUGUUUAAGGUAUUUUACUACUACGAUUUUUCGCCAUUUUACAAAGUAGUCAAACAAUACAGCUACGUCUUUUUAUUACCUAUUCAUUGUUAUUUAUAAUUAACAUUCAUUAAAUCAAUAUUUAAUUAAUUAUUUAAACGUUUUUACUCGUCGUCAUGUCAGAAAGCAAUAUCGAAAAUGAGACUAUUAAAACAAAAAAGGUUAGAUCUAUAAAAUCUUUUUUUUCUGCGCCUAAAAAGAUAAAAUUGGAAGUAAACAAUGCAUCUAAUUUAUGGAGCUAAUGUUAUGAGAGGUUCAAUUAAUGGAGUUCAAGCUUUAUUUAAAAAUAUAGUACUUGUCGGUGAGGGUGGUCGAGUGGGCUGACCGAUCGAUGGGAGAGCAGUAAGGUCGGAGGGCA